rnacentral:rRNA from 1 species
AGUGAACGCUGGCGGUAGGCCUAACACAUGCAAGUCGAACGGCAGCACAGUAAGAGCUUGCUCUUACGGGUGGCGAGUGGCGGACGGGUGAGGAAUACAUCGGAAUCUACUUUUUCGUGGGGGAUAACGUAGGGAAACUUACGCUAAUACCUCAUACGACUUACGGGGGAAAGCAGGGGAUCUUCGGACCUUGCGCGAUUGAAUGAGCGGAUGUCGGAUUAGCUAGUUGGCGGGGUAAAGGCCCACCAAGGCGACGAUCCGUAGCUGGUCUGAGAGGAUGAUCAGCCACACUGGAACUGAGACACGGUCCAGACUCCUACGGGAGGCAGCAGUGGGGAAUAUUGGACAAUGGGCGCAAGCCUGAUCCAGCCAUACCGCGUGGGUGAAGAAGGCCUUCGGGUUGUAAAGCCCUUUUGUUGGGAAAGAAAAGCAGCAGGUUAAUACCCCGCUGUUCUGACGGUACCCAAAGAAUAAGCACCGGCUAACUUCGUG